rnacentral:rRNA from 1 species
GUUAGGAAUAUUGGACAAUGGGCGAAAGCCUGAUCCAGCCAUGCCGCGUGAACGAUGAAGGCCUUCGGGUUGUAAAGUUCUUUAGCCGAUGAUUAUAAUGACUGUAGUCGGAAAAUAAGCCCCGGCUAACUUCGUGCCAGCAGCCGCGGUAAUACGAAGGGGGCGAGCGUUAUUCGGAAUCACUGGGCGUAAAGCGUGCGUAGGCGGUUUUGUAAGUUAGGAGUGAAAGCCCAGGGCUCAACCUUGGAAUUGCUCUUAAAACUGCAAGGCUCGAAUCUCGGAGAGGAUAGCGGAAUUUCCAGUGUAGCAGUGAAAUGCGUAGAUAUUGGAAGGAACACCAGUGGCGUAAGCGGCUAUCUGGACGAGUAUUGACGCUAAGGCACGAAAGCGUGGGGAUCAAACAGGAUUAGAAACCCCGGUAGUCC